GGCUGGUCUGAUGGUAGUGAGCUAUCUCAACUUGAGUGUUCACUAGUCAGUUACUGAUUGAAUUCCUCGUACUCUUUUCCCGCUUUCUCACUACUGCACUUGACUAGUCUUAA
ensembl:misc_RNA Y_RNA Y RNA